rnacentral:rRNA from 1 species
UACGGAGGGUGCAAGCGUUAUCCGGAUUUACUGGGUUUAAAGGGUGCGUAGGAGGGCAGGUAAGUCAGUGGUGAAAUCCUGGGGCUUAACCCCAGAACUGCCGUUGAUACUAUCUGUCUUGAAUAUUGUGGAGGUGAGCGGAAUAUGUCAUGUAGCGGUGAAAUGCUUAGAUAUGACAUAGAACACCAAUUGCGAAGGCAGCUCGCUACACAUAUAUUGACACUGAGGCACGAAAGCGUGGGGAUCAAACAGG